rnacentral:rRNA from 1 species
GACGAACGCUGGCGGCGUGCUUAACACAUGCCAGUCGAACGGAAAGGCCCUGCUUUUGUGGGGUGCUCGAGUGGCGAACGGGUGAGUAACACGUGAGUAACAUGUCCUUGACUUUGGGAUAACUUCAGGAAACUGGGGCUCAUACCGGAUAGGAGCUCCUGAUGCAUGGUGGGGGUUGGAAAGUUCCGGCGGUUGGGGAUGGACUCGCGGCUUAUCAGCUUGUUGGUGGGGUAGUGGCUUACCAAGGCUUUGACGGGUAGCCGGCCUGGGAGGGUGGCCGGCCACAUUGGGACUGAGAGACGGCGCAGUCUCCUACGGGAGGCAGCAGUGGGGAAUAUUGCACAAUGGGCGGAAGCCUGAUGCAGCAACGCCGCGUGCGGGAUGACGGCCUUCGGGUUGUAAACCGCUUUCGCCUGUGACGAAGCGUGAGUGACGGUAAUGGGUAAAGAAGCACCGGCUAACUACGUG